GAUGAACGCUGGCGGCGUGCCUAAUACAUGCAAGUCGAGCGAACAGACGAGGAGCUUGCUCCUCUGACGUUAGCGGCGGACGGGUGAGUAACACGUGGAUAACCUACCUAUAAGACUGGGAUAACUUCGGGAAACCGGAGCCAAUACCGGAUAAUAUAUUUAACCGCAUGGUUCAAUAGUGAAAGACGGUUUUGCUGUCACUUAUAGAUGGAUCCGCGCCGCAUUAGCUAGUUGGUAAGGUAACGGCUUACCAAGGCAACGAUGCGUAGCCGACCUGAGAGGGUGAUCGGCCACACUGGAACUGAGACACGGUCCAGACUCCUACGGGAGGCAGCAGUAGGGAAUCUUCCGCAAUGGGCGAAAGCCUGACGGAGCAACGCCGCGUGAGUGAUGAAGGUCUUCGGAUCGUAAAACUCUGUUAUUAGGGAAGAACAAAUGUGUAAGUAACUAUGCACGUCUUGACGGUACCUAAUCAGAAAGCCACGGCUAACUACGUG
rnacentral:rRNA from 1 species